GGGAGGGCGCUUACCACUUUGUGAUUCAUGACUGGGGUGAAGUCGUAACAAGGUAACCGUAGGGGAACCUGCGGUUGGAUCACCUCCUUACCUUAAAGAUGC
rnacentral:rRNA from 1 species